rnacentral:rRNA from 1 species
UACGGGGGGAGCAAGCGUUGUUCGGAUUUACUGGGCGUAAAGGGCGCGUAGGCGGCGUGACAAGUCACUUGUGAAAUCUCCGGGCUUAACCCGGAGCGGCCAAGUGAUACUGUCGUGCUAGAGUGCGGAAGGGGCUACUGGAAUUCUCGGUGUAGCGGUGAAAUGCGUAGAUAUCGAGAGGAACACCUGCGGCGAAGGCGGGUAGCUGGGCCGAUACUGACGCUGAGGAGCGAAAGCGUGGGGAGCGAACAGG